rnacentral:lncRNA from 1 species
AUUUUCUCUACCAUAUUUGCUUUUUUUCCUUAUAAAAUUAAUAAGUAGUUUAUAGGGAAUCACUUUGAGAUAUUUUAAAUGUCCUGUUUAUAGUCAAACCAUUUCCCCCGAGAUUUAGCAUCUCUUGAUGGCACUUGCCUGACUCACUUCUUACCACUAUAGUUGGAAAUUGUGGCUUUCUAACUUCAUUAUUCCUUUGUUCUUUCUAUAUAUAGUGCCCUAGUUCUUUAGUAGGACUUGAAAAAAAUACUCAUGAGCAUGAAUUCAUAGUCUAAGUAUUAAAUUCAGAAUUUAUUUUGUGAAAUUUCUUUUCCUAUUAGGCAUUUGUUUUCUUGAGAAAAGAAGUUAAAUCAUAAUUCCAUUGCCCAUAUCAAUGUAGAAUGACUCUGAGAUCACUUACUUGUAUAAUUUAUACCUCAUUUAUUUCUGAAAGGACUAGAGAAAGCUUUUUAAACUGAACACAAAACAGGACAAAAAAGGUAAAAAUCAUGAUUAUUCUAGUGGUACUGUUUAAGUUGAACAUUGAGUUUAGAUCAUGGAAAUCAGCAGCUGAGGCAGAGAGACAACCAUAUUGAAUUAGAUGUGAUUUCACUGUUUCAGAAGAGAAAGCAUCCUGUAAGAGAUUAAUAAAAUACAUAUAUGCAAGGAAAAGAAGCUCAUGUAAUUUGAAUAACAUAUAAUUUAAUUUCAUGUCAUCAAGAGGGCUGAUUUUUGUGUUGAGCUAGUUCUGUUUAUUGAAAAUUUAUGCACUGGUAAAAACAACAGUUCAAACCAAUGCAGACUUAUUUAGAACUUUCAUUUAACAUUUAAGAUCCCAUUUAAGAUUCCAGAGAUUCUGGUUCAUUAGGUCUUAGGAAGGGUCUGCAUAUUGAACAUCACAGAUGAACCUAGAAUCACACUUUGAGAAAACGGUGCCUCAAACAAAGAGAUGAAAGUUAGGAUUUUAUUGUAAUUGAGUCAGUAUUGCAGAGUUGCUUGUAAAAUUCUUCUAGUAGUCUCAUAUUUAAAGUAUAAUAACUUUUAGGAAUUUCCAUUAAAAAAUAAUUUGGGUUGAUAAAUAAACAGCUAAAUAGCUAAAUUGAAUCCUUAUGAUGUACAUCAGUAGUGGAUUUAGUGAGUCAGUGGUGUAGACUUUUCUACUCCAGCCUAAUACCUAUACUUCCUCAGUAUUUUCAUAACCUCCUUAAUUUUUCAUUAGUUCAUUAACUUCAUUAGUUUUAGUGGCUCACCAUAAAUAGCUUAUUAACUUGUACACAUAUUCUAAGUUAUAGAAGGGCUUGUUAAAUUCAAUUUUUAAAGAGAAUACUGGAUUUGUUUGGGUUUUUUUUUAAUAUUCAUUAUUUUGUAUUAGAGGAGACAGGCCACCGAUUUCUAAGAUUUAUUACUCUUUUGCAAUAACUGGCUUUAGCCAGGGGCCCAUAUUUCAGAAUUGUUCAUAGGAAAGUAAUUUCCACGGGUGUCAUUGCUAGUUGAGUGAGUGACUUUGACAUACAUAGCUCUGGCCUACAACUGGCCAGCCUGAAAUAAUUAAUCAGAAACAACAACUAUUUUAGUAAGACUGAAUUCCAGUUUAUAAACUAGGUUAAUUGAAGAUUUUCCAACAGUAGAGACUUUCCAACGUAGAGCACAACGGCUGUUGGGUUAAUGAAAAUAUUUAAGAUCUAAAUGAAAAUGUAAGCCUUGGACAGUUCUGUGAUUUCUCUUAAGUCUAUAUGGGAGACAUUUCCUUUGUUGCCUGAGCUUUAUUGCUUUAGUUCUCUUUAACAUUGCAAUGGAAACAUCUGAUAAAACUUCUGAGACUGUGCUGAAAGUUUACCCCUUUGUUUUAUAAAAUGUAGCAAAUAUAGCUUAUAAUAGCACUGGUACCUGCAUUCUUGAUUUGUGACUCUUUCAGAAGGAAGACAUUUAUUUUCAUAAGAAAUGUGACAUUUAUAAGGAUUGAACAGCUUAAAAGAGUGUGCACAGAAAGUGGUAGGACUUAUAAAACAGUGGUUUACCAAGCCUGGUUGAUGACUUGUGCGAGACAAAUUUAGAACAGGAGCAGCGACUUAGUGCCCAGCUUGGAACAUUUGUUUAUAUUUUGGUAUUUAUUUAUAAGAUCAUGGAUACAAAGCUAAACUAUUUUCACAUAUGGAAAGGAUGACUAAAGGGAGAAAAUCCUUAUUAUUGUGCUUAUGAUUCAAAUUCCUUGUCCACCAUAGUCCUUUGAAUUUUUCUGCUUAUUAGAGUACAAAAAGGCGAUAGCAUUUCCGCAGCUCAUUAUUUUGAGAAGGAAAGUGAAUAAAAUGAAAACUACUAUUGAUUCUCAGCCCUGCCCCAAGAGAAAUACUGAAGACCCUCAAUUCAUAGUAGAGAUAUAAACAUUUCAAAAUACUACAUUUAAUUUUUUUUAUUUAUUUUUUAUUGUUAUUACCCCCAACACACUUUUUUUCCCCCCCCACUGUACAGCAUGGAGACCCAGUCACACAUACAUUGCUAGAUGGCUAUUUUCAUCUUCAUGAUUUUGAGGUUUCCUGAAGUUACUGUAAUUUGCUUCUAAUCAGAUAUAACUUGUUUUGUUUUCUUUAAAUGGAAACAGUAAAGGAAGUAGAUAAUGUUAGUAGAACUUUGAUUCCAAUCAGUGGACAUUGGCUGGUUUUCUACUCAGCCUCCAUUUCACUUGCUUCUGUCCCUACACCUGCCUCUGUCCUUCAUGCAACUCCUCUGCUCUCCUGGAUGCUUCCAGAGAAGCCAAGUCCUAUCCCAGCUCCAGGAGUGGGUUGAUGUGUCUAAAGUGAACCCCAUCUUUCAUACUUCUAACAGUUUCAUAUGAAAAGGUUCAGGUGAACACUUGAGCUGACCGAUGUUAAAGAGCAGCACUGCUGGUGACUUUUUGGAAAGUCCUCACUGGGAGAGCUUCCAAAACUGAUUCUCUUUCUCUGCUGCUGGGCUACUGCCUGCAUCUUAAUACCAAAGGGAGAAGUAGCUUUAUGCUAAGGAUUCAUUGUGGAUCAAAGAGCAGAGACAAACAUUCCCACCCAGGAAUAUCACAACUCCACUGUGUGUGUAUAUGUGAGUGUGCUUGUGAAUGUGUGUGUGUGAGAAUGAGAGAGAUGGAUAACAGUAAAUGAGGAAUAUCCUACAUAAGAAUAAACAUCUGCUUCUUUUUUCCCUCCCAGAAAUUUACAAAAGGCAACAUUAAAAUGUGCCAUUUGGGGCUUUCCUUUAAAGGCUUGCAUGAAUCAAAUCAUCUGCAUGCCUUUGAUAAAAUGUCUUUUUUCUGUUCCCCUCCCCCUCAGAGACACUUAUUUUUCUCACUGAAAAAUUUCAGAAUGCUCAUAUGGUUGGCUGAGUAUAAAGUCAUAAAGCCAAGCCUUCUGAACCUGAAAGGCUUAUUGCCUAAAAUGAUGUUCUUUUGAUUAUAUAGUUAGUUUUCUGAUGUUUGCAUUUUAUAGUGCCUCAUAUGGUGGAACUGGACUUCUCAUCUUUUGCCCAAAAGUUAUUUGAUCAGAGAAACCGUUUACUUGCAAAUUCUAAUUUAUUAGAAAUUAUAUCCUCAAUGGAAAUUUAAAAUGCAAGCUACACUUUGAGUCACUCCUUUUUUCUUAGGGAAUAAAUAAAUACAGAUAAAAAUAGUCCUUCCCAUGUUUUUCUGCUCUUCUGUCUUCAUAGGCAACAUUUGAAAACAAUGCUCUUAAAAAGAGAAUACCUCAGAGGUCCGCCUGGGACCUCAUAUAAGUAAAGUGAGAUGACAAAACUGGUGACGUGUGACUCCACACUCCAGUGACAGAGAAGAUAAUUAUAUUGAGGUCUUCAGAGUGAUUUAGAGGUGACCUGGAAUUUUCCAAGAGACAAUGAAGUUAUAUUUGUGAAAAACAGACACCCGGGGGGAGGGCAUGUUAUUUUAGCCACAUAUUCUUAUAUAUAUCCUACAUAACUUAAAAAAGUAUGACUUUCAAGAGGACAAUAAAAAAGAAAUUAUAGUAAUCAAGAUGGGAAAUUAUUAAGGGUUUGGGAAAAAAUUUUCAGCCGAGAAGCAAUGUGAAGAUUAAGUAUAAAUUCUAACAGUCUGGUUGACAAGUUGAUGAGCACAUUUACAGAUGAGAACUGUACAAGGAACAAAAGGAUGACUCAACAGUUUUGUGUAAGAGCCAACAUUAGGUUAGGUUUGUAUUAGAAAGAAUCAAAGUGGAAUUUGAGCAGAGAAGUGUCUGAAAGAAGGAGAAAAGCAGUGUUUUGCCAGAGUUUCCUUCUGAGGCUUCCCUGCAGAUGGACACGCUUUUCUUUCAUGGUUGCGUGUUUGUGGGGUGGCCAGGGGCUUUCUGUAUCUGACUUUUCUUUUACUGUUGAAAGAAAUAACCAGAGAAAUCAGAUAAGAGAGAUAUCAUUUCUGAAGUUAAUCUAAAUAGAUACCUUUUUUAUUUGGCCUGUUGUGGGUCAUAAAUUUGAUCGGAUGAUAUAAAGACAGCUCUCUUCAAACAGAGACGAUCACCAUUAACUUCUGUCUGGGAGAAGCGGGUGGCACUCCUUGCUGGGCCAGGGCUGGAGAAGCACUGGAUCUGUGGUCUGGACAGGCAGCUUCAGGUCUAAGCCUGUCAUUCAGCAGCUCUUCGAGUCUGAGUGAGACCCUUAAUGACUUUAGGCAGAAAGCUAGAUGGUCGGAAAUAUGGAUGAGGGGCUCUCCACUGAUUGGCGUGGCUCUUUAGGUGAUCUGGAAGGUAUCUAUGGGGCUGAGGAAAUAGUACUCCUGUUUUUUCCUGUUACAGUGUCUCUGCGUGGAGCCACCCACAGGCUCUUUUAUCCACCAUUAAACUAUGAAGAGUGGUGGGGACUUGACAAACUCAGCUGACUGACCAAUUAAAGCGUGUAGUUUUCACUCAGCUCCAAGUGAUUGUUGACGUGAAAAUGAAGGCUUAGUUUUGCCAGAAUUUUCAGAACUUGCAGUUUUUGUUUUGUUUUGAUUUUUAGGAGCUGCCUGAAAUAAGGAUUUUUUUUUUUUUUCCAUGAAGUCCCCCCACCUCUCCACCCUCAAAAAAACAGCUGUGCCACACUGAUGUGGGUCAAACGAAACAAGUCUUUGAGCCAGAUCUGUCCUGUGACUACAGUUUAGGUCUUUUGCUUUAAUCUGUUUUUCUUAGAUGUUUAUUGAGAUCUUGGUAAGUUUCAUAGCAAUGUACUUGCCUCUCUUUAACUACCGAACAAUAUCCAAGACAGUCCUAAUAUCCUGAGUUUUCUUUAGGUGACAUUUAAACCUGUACAUAAAUUUGAUUAAAAAAUACUUUGUUGGGUUAAAGAUAAGACUCCUAACAGUAUAUAUGUUACUGACACAUGGGAAGAACUAUAAACAAAAGAAUGAUUGAUUUCAUUUCUUUAAUUCUGUUGAGUUACUACCAUAAACUUCAUCAUCUGUGUUUCUUACAGAAUUUUCUAAAUGAGCAAGAAAAGAUAUUUUGGAAGGUUCUGUGGACAUUCAAAGGUGAAAGGUGGUAAAUCUUUAUUUAAAAAAGUCUCUUCAAAAUAAAACCAUUGUCUCCAUAUUAAAUUAAUUUGUAAAAAUAUGUUUUCUAAGGCUUACCAAAGCUAACUACUAAUGAUAUGUUUUAUGCUGGAAAAAUAUGGCUACUUGCAACUCUUCAUUGUUUGUAUGAGUGAAAUCCUUCUAUUUUUUUCCCUCUAUUCUUUGGCCACGGAAAUUAAGACUAAGAACUUAAUUCUGCAAAUUAAGAAUAAUAACUUGGGAGUUCCCGUCGUGGCGCAGUGGUUAACGAAUCUGACUAGGAACCAUGAGGUUGCGGGUUCCAUCCCUGCCCUUGCUCAGUGGGUUAACGAUCUGGCGUUGCCGUGAGCUGUGGUGUAGGUCGCAGACGCGGCUCGGAUCCCACAUUGUUGUGGCUCUGGUGUAGGCUGGCAGCUACAGCUCCGAUUCGACCCCUAGCCUGGGAACCUCCAUAUGCCGCUGGAGCAGCCCCAGAAAUGGCAAAAAG